GAUGAAGAAUGUAGCGAAAUGCGAUAAGUAAUGUGAAUUGCAGAAUUCAGUGAAUCAUCGAAUCUUUGAACGCACAUUGCGCCCGUCAGUAUUCUGGCGGGCAUGCCUGUUCGAGCGUCAUUACGCCCCUCAAGUCCCCUGUGGACUUGGUGUUGGGGAUCGGCGAGGCUGGUUUUCCAGCACAGCCGUCCCUUAAAUUAAUUGGCGGUCUCGCCGUGGCCCUCCUCUGCGCAGUAGUAAAACACUCGCAACAGGAGCCCGGCGCGGUCCACUGCCGUAAAAUCCCCCAACUUUUUAUAGUUGACCUCGAAUCAGGUAGGACUACCCGCUGAACUUAAGCAUAUCAAUAAGCGGAGGA
rnacentral:misc_RNA from 1 species